AUACAAUACAAUAAGGGAUGAACAAUAAGAUUAUAAGAGUAAGCCAAUUCACCUAAUGUCUUUCUGCUCUUUUUUUUUAUGUUAACUUCUUCAGCAUCAUCCAGCACCAGAUUCAUGUACUCAUCAAACCCCUAUAAAAUACAAAAUUGGGCAA